GGACAUGACUCAAAACUUUGUCUUUACUUGAUGAGAAAAGGCCGUGUGGCAAGUCAAGUUCUUUUAAAUGGGUGGUUUUUCUCCUCUUCCACCCACACAGCUUUGGUUCAUGAUGGAUGUAGGUUUAAAACAUAUUAUGCUGCCUUUUACUUCUGGCUUUUUAAUUCUUUCUAAUGACAACCUAGUACUUAGAUAAUUCAAAUAUCUUCCUGGCACUUAAAAACAUGGCAGCUAUGACUUUAUUUACAACAUGUGUGUCACGGGUGUAUUCUGACUACAUUAUCAAAGUUAGGAAUGCUGAAAAUUGACCUCCUAACAGCCCACCUAAUUGCUUGAACUUAACUCUGAAUGCCCUUGUCCACUUUUGUUUUCAUUUAGGAAAAAGGCCUGUGUCAUAUCAACACUUGUCUAGCAACAUGCUGCAAAAGAGAAACUAUGAGAAUUUUAUUGGGCAUACACAUUAUCGACCAAAUGACAAAAAAACUUGAUUUCCUAUUUUGGGGAAGAAAGGUCUUGAUGGAUGUGUGUACUCUCCAUGAAAUUGUUAGUUCAUCCUUUGAGAAAGCAAACCGUGAAAGCUACUGAAAUAAGCUGUGAUUGUACUGUGCAUACAAUAUACAAGGAACACACUACAGUUUUGUAAAGUUGUUCUGGUAACUUUUGUACCAAAUAGCAAUAAAAAACUAUAGUUGGAACAGUUGGGUUGUACACAAAUAGAGAUGGGAAAUCUCUAUUUUGUCCCCGAAUAAUAUUUUUUUUUAGAAUUGACCAAAUAAGAAUGGAGUUUUUUGCAUACUUGAGCGCUGCUGAAAAGAAAUCAUUUGGGUUGGGGGGUGGGGUGGGGAGAAAGUAUAUAAUGCUUGCACCUCAGGUAAAAAUCUGUAAAUAUAUAUAAGUUGUAAACCUGCUUGUUUAAUACUAUGUGUACUCUUUUUCUGUAAUAUAGCUCAUCAUUUUGAGCUAUUUCUGCUUUUUUGUGCUUUUCAUUUAAAAUAUGUUUUUAAAAAAAAUUUUCUCAAUGAUUUGUAUUAUGUGAAAUUGUCCACAGCCUCAUGUCUUAAAAUCGUCAAUGAAAGCAGUGACCCUCUGUACGUGCUGCAUAUAUUGAGGUCAGACAUUCGGAACAAGGUGCCCCUUUUGUUGGAAAUCUCAGCAUGUCAGCUGAGGAAGGGGCCACAUAGAGCCACCGUCCUUUCCUGAGGGGGUGGGGUGGUCAUAGGAUUUUUAAGUGCAUGUGUCUGCAGGGAAGCAUUUCCUCAGUAGCGCAGCCAAGUUUCCAGGAAACAUACCAAACUGUAUGUGGAGUUCCUUAAGUUAGUUUUCUAUCAAAUUAAUCAUUUUUGUAGGAAAAUUCAAUGUUUUGGGCGUUCGCCUAAAUUAGUAGGUAAAAAGCAUAACUCACCAUGAUACAUGUGAAUUAACAUAUGUUGGAAGCAGUUUUAAAGGAAAAUGAAAGUUUGGGGGUAAAUUUUAGUUUUGUAUUUGGAGUCCUGGUGUGUCUGCAUUUGAGUUAAGCUGGACACGUUCGAGUGAAUUCCAGAUGCAUUGAUUCUGAGGAGGGAGCUGCUGGCUGAGCCUCCUGGGACUCGGGGAAGAGGUACUGUUUCUAGACCUCAGCUGUCUUGUUUUUGGCUGUUUUGAAGCAUUUUCUCAGCACAUACGCAAUUUGGUUUUUAAAGAGAGGCGAGCCCCCCCCCAGUUGGCUUAGUGGGUGUUUUAAAGUUUUAUUUCCUCAAUUUGCUGUAAUGGCUGAGUGUCUUCAACAGUCCCUGGGUUUAGUAACCACAAAAUAUUUUAUUAAGAAAACUUCCAAAAGUAAAUUUGCACUGUUAAUUUUCCUUGUCCUGCCCUUCUCCAUUAGAGCAAGGGUUAAGUCCUAAAAGAAUCCUAUGAUUUUUGUGUUGUUUUGUUACAUUAUGCAACACGAAGCGUACUUGAUCAACACGUCUUAACUCCUGCGGAAGCGGGGGAUGGCCUAAUCUGAGGGCAGUCUGCUGGCAUUGCAAUGAAGUGCUUUGUAUCAGGAAAGUGUACACUAUUAACCGUUUUUCCUGUUCACAAGCUGAGCCAUAUGUACAUAACCUAGAUUUUUGUUUUCAUAGUUUUGCACUUUUAUAGCGUAUUUUUGAAGAUUAACACAUUUGCGAGAUGAUUGACUUGAUCGUUGCCUAAUGCAAUGAGUGUUACAGAAAGCUUGCUCCUGACUGUAAAUGUAAAUCUGAAAUGGGGAUAUGUGAUAAUAGACAACUGAGAUUUAAAACUGUAUUAAAAAAAAAAA